rnacentral:rRNA from 1 species
UACAGAGGGUGCGAGCGUUGUCCGGAAUCACUGGGCGUAAAGGGCGCGUAGGUGGCGGCCCAAGUCCAUGGUGAAAGCUCGAUGCUCAACAUCGAGUCGGCCACGGAUACUGGGUUGCUCGAGCACUGUAGGGGCAGAUGGAAUUCCGGGUGUAGCGGUGGAAUGCGUAGAGAUCCGGAAGAACACCGGUGGCGAAGGCGGUCUGCUGGGCAGUUGCUGACACUGGAGGCGCGACAGCGUGGGGA